GAAUAAUAUAAGAAAUUUCAGCUGUACAAAAUCCGGACACAGAUCGGACGCACUGUGUGAACCUGAAGCUGAUGCUGAACAUGGAUUCACGUAAGGCGCUGGAACAACUACGCUGACAGACCAAAUGUGAUGGCUGCCAAAAUACAGCCGACUCCAAAAGAACUGCGUCCCAGAGCUGCGUGUGUGGGAACACACUCCUGCUUUUGGAGAAAAAGAUUAAAAAUACCCCCUUAAGGAAAAAAUACUGAAACCUCAGCAGAGCAUUCCUGAUAAUGACCUGAAAGUGGCACCAUCGCAUCCUUUCACGAUUUUUACUCGUCCUGGAGGAGAAACGGCGGCUUGUGUGUGGUUACAGACAAAGCCCAAACUGACCAAUCGUGUUCUUACCAGCUCCUCAUGCUGCACUCCAUCGUCUCAGUAGUCCCAACGUGUAAUAUUGUACUCUUUUAUUA
ensembl:lncRNA